rnacentral:rRNA from 1 species
GAUGAACGCUGGCGGCGUGCCUAAUACAUGCAAGUCGAACGAGGUGCUUUUUGUAGCAAUACGAGGAGUAUCCUAGUGGCGAACGGGUGAGUAACGCGUGGGUGACCUACCCCAAAGUGUGGAAUAACAGUCCGAAAGGAUUGCUAAUGCCGCAUGUGGUCUGCGAGUUUAGAAAUCGUUGACUAAAGGAGCAAUUCGCUUUGGGAGGGACCUGCGUCCCAUCAGCUAGUUGGUGAGGUAACGGCUCACCAAGGCUACGACGGGUAGGGGACCUGAGAGGGUGGCCCCCCACAAUGGAACUGAAGCACGGUCCAUACACCUACGGGUGGCAGCAGUAGGGAAUAUUGCACAAUGGGCGAAAGCCUGAUGCAGCAACGCCGCGUGUGCGAUGAAGGCCUUCGGUCGUAAAGCACUUUUCUGAGAGAUGAGAAAGGACAGUAUCUCAGGAAUAAGUCUCGGCUAACUACGUGCCAGCAGCCGCGGU